AAGAUGAAUUAUGAGAGUGAUUUAUGAAAGAAAGACAAUGGAGAAUUGCAAUUGAUGGAGACAUGCAAAGAAAAGACUUUGGCACUACAUCAAAAGACAAUGAAGAAACUAAAGCACAAAGAGAUUAAAGAACUUAUCCAAGGUCAUACAGCUGGAAAGAAGUGGAUUUGGGACUGUGAACAUCACAAUUUCACAAACUACAUUUCACGAUGGGUAGAGCUAGUCAAACAUCUGAAAAUAAAGUUUGG
rnacentral:lncRNA from 1 species